GGACUACUAGGGUUUCUAAUCCUGUUUGCUCCCCACGCUUUCGCGUCUCAGCGUCAGUACCGUCCCAGUGAGCUGCCUUCGCCAUUGGUGUUCCUCCUGAUAUCUGCGCAUUUCACCGCUACACCAGGAAUUCCACUCACCCCUUCCGGACUCUAGCCCGAUAGUUUCCACCGGCAUUCCAGGGUUGAGCCCUAGACUUUUACAGCAGACUUAUCGAGCCGCCUACACGCGCUUUACGCCCAAUGAUUCCGGACAACGCUUGCCCCCUACGUAUUACCGCGGCUGCUGGCAC
rnacentral:rRNA from 1 species